AUUGAACGCUGGCGGCAGGCUUAACACAUGCAAGUCGAGCGAGCGGCGGACGGGUGAGUAAUGUCUGGGAAACUGCCUGCUGGUGGGGGAUAACUACUGGAAACGGUAGCUAAUACCGCAUACCAUCAGAUGUGCCCAGGUGGGAUUAGGUAGUAGGUGGGGUAACGGCCCACCUAGGCGACGAUCCCUAGCUGGUCUGAGAGGAUGACCAGCCACACUGGAGCUGAGGCACGGUCCAGACGGCUACGGUAGACAGCAGUGGGGAAUAUUGCGCAAUGAGCGCAAGCCUGAUGCAGCCGUGCCGAGUGUGUGAGGAAGGCCUUCGGGUGGUAGAGCACUUUCGGCGGGGAGGCGUUACCCGCAGAAGAAGCCCCGGCUAACUCAGUGCCAGCAGCCGCGGUAAUAC
rnacentral:rRNA from 1 species